rnacentral:rRNA from 1 species
AGGCGUCGACGGGUAGCCGGCCUGAGAGGGUGACCGGCCACAUUGGGACUGAGAUACGGCCCAGACUCCUACGGGAGGCAGCAGUGGGGAAUAUUGCACAAUGGACGCAAGUCUGAUGCAGCGACGCCGCGUGGGGGAUGAAGGCUUUCGGGUUGUAAACUCCUUUCAGUACAGAAGAAGCAUUUUUGUGACGGUAUGUGCAGAAGAAGCGCCGGCUAACUACGUGCCAGCAGCCGCGGUAAUACGUAGGGCGCGAGCGUUGUCCGGAAUUAUUGGGCGUAAAGAGCUCGUAGGCGGUUUGUUGCGCCUGCUGUGAAAGACCGGGGCUUAACUUCGGGGUUGCAGUGGGUACGGGCAGACUAGAGUGUGGUAGGGGUAAUUGGAAUUCCUGGUGUAGCGGUGGAAUGCGCAGAUAUCAGGAGGAACACCGAUGGCGAAGGCAGGUUACUGGGCCAUUACUGACGCUGAGGAGCGAAAGCGUGGGUAGCGAACAGGAUUAGAUACCCUGGUAGUCCACGCUGUAAACGUUGGGCACUAGGUGUGGGGCCUUUUCCACGGGUUCUGCGCCGUAGCUAACGCUUUAAGUGCCCCGCCUGGGGAGUACGGCCGCAAGGUUAAAACUCAAAGGAAUUGACGGGGGCCCGCACAAGCGGCGGAGCAUGCGGAUUAAUUCGAUGCAACGCGAAGAACCUUACCAAGGCUUGACAUACACUGCGAUGUGCCAGAGAUGGUGCAGCCUUCGGGGUGGUGUACAGGUGGUGCAUGGUUGUCGUCAGCUCGUGUCGUGAGAUGUUGGGUUA